CGCGUAGGCGGUUUCUUAAGUCAGAUGUGAAAUCCCGGGGCCUUAACCCCGGAAAGUGCAUUUGAAACUAAAGGGACUUGAGUAUGGGAGAGGGAAGUGAAUUCCUGGUGUAGAGGUGAAAUUCGUAGAUAUCAGGAGGAACACCGGUGGCGAAGGCGACUUCCUGACCAAUACUGACGCUGAGGCGCGAAGGCGUGGGGAGCAAAC
rnacentral:rRNA from 1 species